rnacentral:rRNA from 1 species
AAGCGGGGGCAACCCCGUGAGUAAAGUGGCGACCGGGUGAGUAACACGUGACUAACCUACCCUCUGGCGGGGAAUAACCUCGGGAAACCGGGGCUAAUACCGCAUAACAUCCGCGGGUGCAAUUCCUGCGGAUCAAAGGAGCAAUUCGCCGGAGGAGGGGGUCGCGGCUGAUUAGCUAGUUGGUAAGGUAACGGCUUACCAAGGCGACGAUCGGUAUCCGGCCUGAGAGGGCGCACGGACACACUGGAACUGAAACACGGUCCAGACUCCUACGGGAGGCAGCAGUGGGGAAUUUUGCGCAAUGGGGGAAACCCUGACGCAGCAACGCCGCGUGGAGGAUGAAGCCCCUUGGG